CAAGGAAGUCAGGAGAAGAGCUGCAGUUCAGAUGCUUGUAAUAGAGUAAUAGAGGAACAAAAUAAAUCUGCAUGCAAGGAGAAUGCCAUGGUUGAUCUGAAGAGUAAACAUCAUCCAAAGACUCUAAUUAAACACUACACUCCAGUGGCCAAGUUAUGAUUGAAAAUUGUUUGCAUGGUCAUGCUCUUUUAAACAACCAGCCGUUGCUUGAAUUUCUUUUUGUGCUUAUCAGCUCAAAGUUACUUUAAAUGAAAUCAUGUCCCAGUCUUCUUUGAGAUAUGUGAUGGAAGGUACCCACGGAACAAGGCAGACCCAGUUAUUGUUGGCAGUAACUGUGCCCAUCUGAAUUAUUUUAAAAUGAUUUGCUUCUCUAAUUCAUGUAAUUAAUUUGAAAGUUUAUGAAGGAGGUUUUAUUUAAUAAAUGGUGGUAAAUACACAUUUU